UUUCAGUGAAUUCCAAACACAUUAGCGCCUCCAGCACGUAAAGUCAUGCGCAGGAACUUUCACCUGUCCUAAGGCUCCAAUGCGUGCACCACUAAAAACAUGUACUUGAAAUAGCCGGAUCUGGGGAGUCUGCUGCUCGCCUACGAUCAUCUCCCAUUGUUCGUAAUAUUUAUGUAGCUCCACCGGACGAAAAGAAUGAGGAAUUAGGAAUAAUAAAAUAAUUGGAUCACCCAACUAAUCGC